rnacentral:rRNA from 1 species
UGCAUUGGAAACUUGGAGACUUGAGUGCAGAAGAGGAGAGUGGAAUUCCAUGUGUAGCGGUGGAAUGCGUAGAUAUAUGGAGGAACACCGGUGGCGAAAGCGGCUCUCUGGUCUGUAACUGACGCUGAGGCUCGAAAGCGUGGGUAGCGAAC